AGCAGUCGCCGCGGGAAUACGUAGGUGGCAAGCGUUAUCCGGAAUUAUUGGGCGUAAAGGGCUCGCAGGCGGUUUCUUAAGUCUGAUGUGAAAGCCCCCGGCUCAACCGGGGAGGGUCAUUGGAAACUGGGAAACUUGAGUGCAGAAGAGGAGAGUGGAACUCCACGUGUAGCGGUGAAAUGCGUAGAGAUGUGGAGGAACACCAGUGGCGAAGGCGACUCUCUGGUCUGUAACUGACGCUGAGGAGCGAAAGCGUGGGGAGCGAACAGGAUUAGAUACCCCAGUAGUCCCUGUCUCUUAUAC
rnacentral:rRNA from 1 species